rnacentral:rRNA from 1 species
UCCGUAGGGGGCAAGCGUUGUCCGGAUUUACUGGGCGUAAAGAGCGUGUAGGCGGCCAAGCAGGUCCGUUGUGAAAACUGGAGGCUUAACCUCCAGACGUCGACGGAAACCGCGUGGCUAGAGUCCGGAAGAGGAGAGUGGAAUUCCUGGUGUAGCGGUGAAAUGCGCAGAUAUCAGGAAGAACACCAAUGGCGAAGGCAGCUCUCUGGGACGGUACUGACGCUGAGACGCGAAAGCGUGGGGAGCGAACAGG